rnacentral:rRNA from 1 species
CCUACGGGUGGCAGCAGUGAGGAAUAUUGGUCAAUGGACGAGAGUCUGAACCAGCCAAGUAGCGUGAAGGAUGACUGCCCUAUGGGUUGUAAACUUCUUUUAUAUGGGAAUAAAAUGUUCCACGUGUGGGAUUUUGUAUGUACCAUAUGAAUAAGGAUCGGCUAACUCCGUGCCAGCAGCCGCGGUAAUACGGAGGAUCCGAGCGUUAUCCGGAUUUAUUGGGUUUAAAGGGAGCGUAGGUGGAUUGUUAAGUCAGUUGUGAAAGUUUGCGGCUCAACCGUAAAAUUGCAGUUGAAACUGGCAGUCUUGAGUACAGUAGAGGUGGGCGGAAUUCGUGGUGUAGCGGUGAAAUGCUUAUAUAUCACGAAGAACUCCGAUUGCGAAGGCAGUUCACUGGACUGCAACUGACACUGAGGCUCGAAAGUGUGGGUAUCAAACAGGAUUAGAUACCCGAGUAGUC